rnacentral:rRNA from 1 species
GACGUAGGGCGCGAGCGUUGUCCGGAUUUAUUGGGCGUAAAGAGCUCGUAGGCGGCUUGUCGCGUCGAAUGUGAAAACCCGAGGCUCAACUUCGGGCUUGCAUUCGAUACGGGCAGGCUCGAGUUCGGUAGGGGAGACUGGAAUUCCUGGUGUAGCGGUGAAAUGCGCAGAUAUCAGGAGGAACACCAGUGGCGAAGGCGGCUCACUGGCCCGGUACUGACGCUGAGGUGCGAAAGCGUGGGGAGCAAACAGG